GCCGCCUUAGCUCAGUUGGUAGAGCACCGGCUUUGUAAUCCGAAGGUCGCCGGUUCGAUUCCGGCAGGCGGCUCCA
rnacentral:tRNA from 1 species